rnacentral:tRNA from 1 species
GUUCGCGUGGUGUAGUCGGUUAUCACGUUCGCCUCACAAUGCUGAGAAGCUCGCGAAAGGUCCCCGGUUCGAUUCCGGGCGUGAACA